rnacentral:rRNA from 1 species
UGCCAAGCAGCCGCGGUAAUUCCAGCUCUAAUAGCGUAUAUUAAAGUUGUUGCAGUUAAAAAGCUCGUAGUUGGAUUUUGGUGUCGGACAGGCGGUCGGCUUUUGUCGUACUGCCCUUCUGACGCCUUCCUUCUGUGGACUGCGUCACUCUUAACUGAGGGGCGUGUGGACGCAGAUCGUUUACUGUGAGUAAAUUAGAGUGUUCAAAGCAGGCCUUACGCUUGAGUACAUUAGCAUGGAAUAAUAGAAUAGGACGUCGGGCCUAUUUUGUUGGUUUAGGGACCGUCGUAAUGAUUAAUAGGGACAGUUGAGGCCGUUCAUAUUCCGUAGUCAGAGGUGAAAUUCUUGGAUUUACGGAAGAUGAACUACUGCGAAAGCAUUCGGCAAGGAUGUUUUCGUUAAUCAAGAACGAAAGUUAGGGGAUCGAAGACGAUCAGAUACCGUCGUAGUCUUAACCAUAAACUAUGCCGACUCGGGAUCAGCAAGUGUCGUUCACGACCUCGCUGGCACCGUGUGAGAAAUCAAAGUCUUUGGGUUCCGGGGGGAGUAUGGUCGCAAGGCUGAAACUUAAAGGAAUUGACGGAAGGGCACCACCAGGAGUGGAGCCUGCGGCUUAAUUUGACUCAACACGGGGAAACUCACCAGGUCCAGACAUAGCGAGGAUUGACAGAUUGACAGCUCUUUCUUGAUUCUAUGGGUGGUGGUGCAUGGCCGUUCUUAGUUGGUGGAGUGAUUUGUCUGGUUAAUUCCGAUAACGAACGAGACCUCAGCCUACUAAAUAGUAACGCCUGCUUCGGCAGGUGGAUUACUUCUUAGAGGGACUUUUCGAGUCAUCGAAAGGAAGUUUGAGGCAAUAACAGGUCUGUGAUGCCC